rnacentral:rRNA from 1 species
CCUACGGGCGGCAGCAGUAGGGAAUAUUGCUCAAUGGGCGAAACCCUGAAGCAGCAACGCCGCGUGAAGGAUGAAGGUUUUCGGAUUGUAAACUCCUUUUGUUAGGGAAGAUAAUGACGGUAUCUAACGAAUAAGCACCGGCUAACGCCGGGCCAGCAGCCGCGGUAAUACGGAGGGUGCACGCGUUACUCGGAAUCACUGGGCGGAAAGAGCGCGUAGGCGGGAUUGCAAGUCAGAUGUGAAAUCCUAGGGCUUAACCAUAGAACUGCAUUUGAAACUGUUAUUCUAGAGUAUGGGAGAGGUAGGUGGAAUGCUUGGUGUAGCGGUAAAAUGCGUAGAGAUCAAGAGGAAUACGCAUUGCGAAGGCGACCUGCUAGAACAUAACUGACGCUGAUGCGCGAAAGCGUGGGGAGCAAACAGGAUUAGAUACCCGUGUAGUC